rnacentral:rRNA from 1 species
GACAGAGGAGCCAAGCGUUGUCCGGAUUGACUGGGCGUAAAGCGCACGCAGGCGGUCGUGCACGUGGGGUGUGAAAACUGGCGGCUUAACUGCCAGAGGCCACCUCAUACGGCGCGACUCGAGCCCUGCAGAGGUCCAUGGAAUUGCCGGUGUAGUGGUGAAAUGCGUAGAUAUUCGGAAGAACACCAGUGGCGAAGGCGGCUCACUGGCCCGGUUCUGACGCUGAGGUGCGAAAGCGUGGGGAGCAAACAGG